rnacentral:rRNA from 2 species
AUGGUUAAGUGACGAAGCGUAUACGGUGGAUGCCUUGGCAGUUAGAGGCGAUGAAGGACGUGUAAGUCUGCGAAAAGCUGUGGUGAGCCGACAAAAUGCAUUUGAGCCACAGAUGUCCGAAUGGGGAAACCCACCUGUUUACAGGUAUCGUUACAUGAAUACAUAGUGUAACGAGGCGAACGAGGGGAACUGAAACAUCUAAGUACCCUUAGGAAAAGAAAUCAAUUGAGAUUCCCCUAGUAGCGGCGAGCGAACGGGGAACAGCCCUUAAGCUGUAUUGAAUGUAGUGGAAUCCUUUGGGAAGAGGAGCGAUACAAGGUGAUAGCCCUGUACACGACGCAAUCUUUACAGUGAAAUCGAGUAGGUCGGGACACGUGUUAUCUUGACUGAAUAUGGGGGGACCAUCCUCCAAGGCUAAAUACUCCUAACUGACCGAUAGUGAACCAGUACCGUGAGGGAAAGGCGAAAAGAACCCCUGUGAGGGGAGUGAAAUAGAACCUGAAACCGUAUACGUACAAGCAGUGGGAGCACCUUCGUGGUGUGACUGCGUACCUUUUGUAUAAUGGGUCAGCGACUUAUAUUUAGUAGCAAGGUUAAGUGAAUAACGGAGCCGUAGCGAAAGCGAGUGUUAACUGCGCGUUUAGUUGCUAGGUAUAGACCCGAAACCCGGUGAUCUAGCCAUGGGCAGGUUGAAGGUUGAGUAACAUCAACUGGAGGACCGAACCCACUAACGUUGAAAAGUUAGGGGAUGACCUGUGGCUGGGGGUGAAAGGCCAAUCAAACCGGGAGAUAGCUGGUUCUCCCCGAAAUCUAUUUAGGUAGAGCCUCGGACGAAUUCCAUUGGGGGUAGAGCACUGUUAAGGCUAGGGGGUCAUCCCGACUUACCAACCCUUUGCAAACUCCGAAUACCAAUGAGAACUAUCCGGGAGACACACGGCGGGUGCUAACGUCCGUCGUGGAGAGGGAAACAACCCAGACCGCCAGCUAAGGUCCCAAAAUAUUGCUAAGUGGGAAACGAUGUGGGAAGGCACAGACAGCUAGGAGGUUGGCUUAGAAGCAGCCACCCUUUAAAGAAAGCGUAAUAGCUCACUAGUCGAGUCGGCCUGCGCGGAAGAUGUAACGGGGCUAAGCAAUAUACCGAAGCUGCGGCAGCAUGUUUACAUGCUGGGUAGGGGAGCGUUGUGUAAGUGGAUGAAGGUGAGUUGUAAAGCUUGCUGGACAUAUCACAAGUGCGAAUGCUGACAUGAGUAACGAUAAUGGGAGUGAAAAACUCCCACGCCGGAAGACCAAGGUUUCCUGUCCCAUGCUAAUCAGGGCAGGGUAAGUCGGCCCCUAAGGCGAGGCAGAAAUGCGUAGUCGAUGGGAAACGGAUUAAUAUUUCCGUACUUAUAUAAUCAGUGAUGGAGGGACGGAGAAGGCUAGGCAAGCUUGGCGUUGGUUGUCCAAGUGAAAGCGAGUAGGCCGAGAACUUAGGUAAAUCCGGGUUCUUAAAGCUGAGACGCGAGACGAGCUCCCAAGGGAGUGAAGUUGUUGAUGCCCUGCUUCCAGGAAAAGCUUCUAAACUUAUGAUUAUAUGAACCGUACCCCAAACCGACACAGGUGGUCAGGUAGAGAAUACUAAGGCGCUUGAGAGAACUCGGGUGAAGGAACUCGGCAAAAUUGUACCGUAACUUCGGGAGAAGGUACGCCCCUGUUUGUGAACACUUCGCGUGGUAAGCAAAUGGGGGCCGCAGUGACCAGGUGGCUGGGACUGUUUAUUAAAAACACAGCACUCUGCAAACUCGUAAGAGGACGUAUAGGGUGUGACACCUGCCCGGUGCCGGAAGGUUAAUUGAUGGGGUUAGUUUUCGGACGAAGCUCUUGAUCGAAGCCCCGGUAAACGGCGGCCGUAACUAUAACGGUCCUAAGGUAGCGAAAUUCCUUGUCGGGUAAGUUCCGACCUGCACGAAUGGUGUAACCAUGGCCACGCUGUCUCCACCCGAGACUCAGUGAAAUUGAAAUCGCAGUGAAGAUGCUGUGUACCCGCACCUAGACGGAAAGACCCCGUGAACCUUUACUACAGCUUGGCACUGAACAUUGAACCUACAUGUGUAGGAUAGGUGGGAGGCUUUGAAGCACAGUCGCUAGAUUGUGUGGAGCCGUCCUUGAAAUACCACCCUUGUAUGUUUGAUGUUCUAACAUUGGUCCCUUAUCGGGAUUGUGGACAGUGUCUGGUGGGUAGUUUGACUGGGGCGGUCUCCUCCCAAAUAGUAACGGAGGAGCACGAAGGUUAGCUAAUCACGGUCGGACAUCGUGAGGUUAGUGCAAUGGCAUAAGCUAGCUUAACUGCGAGACAGACACGUCGAGCAGGUACGAAAGUAGGUCAUAGUGAUCCGGUGGUUCUGUAUGGAAGGGCCAUCGCUCAACGGAUAAAAGGUACUCCGGGGAUAACAGGCUGAUACCGCCCAAGAGUUCAUAUCGACGGCGGUGUUUGGCACCUCGAUGUCGGCUCAUCACAUCCUGGGGCUGAAGUCGGUCCCAAGGGUAUGGCUGUUCGCCAUUUAAAGUGGUACGCGAGCUGGGUUUAGAACGUCGUGAGACAGUUCGGUCCCUAUCUGGUGUGGGCGUUGGAUGAUUGAUGGGAGCUGCUCCUAGUACGAGAGGACCGGAGUGGACGAACCGCUGGUGUUCGGGUUGUCAUGCCAAUGGCAUUGCCCGGUAGCUAUGUUCGGAACGGAUAACCGCUGAAAGCAUCUAAGCGGGAAGCCGGCCCAAAGAUGAGUCAUCCCUGACCUUUAAGGUCUGGAAGGGUUGUUAUAGACGAUGACGUUGAUAGGCAGGGUGUGGAAGCGUUGUAAGGCGUUAAGCUAACCUGUACUAAUUGCCCGAGAGGCUUAACCAUACAACGCCCAAGAAGCUUUAGGCUUUUGAAGUGUUGUAGACAAGCUAA